rnacentral:rRNA from 1 species
CCUACGGGGGGCUGCAGUGGGGAAUUUUGGACAAUGGGCGCAAGCCUGAUCCAGCCAUGCCGCGUGCAGGAUGAAGGCCUUCGGGUUGUAAACUGCUUUUGUACGGAACGAAAAGUCUUUCUCUAAUAAAGAGGGAUCAUGACGGUACCGUAAGAAUAAGCACCGGCUAACUACGUGCCAGCAGCCGCGGUAAUACGUAGGGUGCAAGCGUUAAUCGGAAUUACUGGGCGUAAAGCGUGCGCAGGCGGUGAUGUAAGACAGUUGUGAAAUCCCCG